rnacentral:rRNA from 1 species
CUCGUAGGCGGUUCGUCGCGUCCGGUGUGAAAGUCCAUCGCUUAACGGUGGAUCUGCGCCGGGUACGGGCGGGCUGGAGUGCGGUAGGGGAGACUGGAAUUCCCGGUGUAACGGUGGAAUGUGUAGAUAUCGGGAAGAACACCAAUGGCGAAGGCAGGUCUCUGGGCCGUUACUGACGCUGAGGAGCGAAAGCGUAGGGAGCGAACA